rnacentral:rRNA from 1 species
UCUCAGUUCGGAUUGAAGUCUGCAACCCGACUUCAUGAAGCUGGAUUCGCUAGUAAUCGCGCAUCAGCCACGGCGCGGUGAAUACGUUCCCGGGCCUUGUACAUACCGCCCGUCAAGCCAUGGGAGCCGGGGGUACCUGAAGUGCGUAACCGCAAGGAGCGCCCUAGGGUAAAACUGGUGACUGGGGCUAAGUCGUAACAAGGUAGC